rnacentral:siRNA from 1 species
CGAUCUCCAAGUUGCGAAAGUAGC